rnacentral:lncRNA from 1 species
UGAAGUACCCCCAGCAGUAAUAUUUUUGAUGAGCCUGCACAUAUAAUUUAUCAUAAUUCAUAUUCUAUGCUCGUGUGUCUUAUUUUUUUUAUUUCCCUUUUAAGAUCCUUUUUGAUCGAAAACCUACCCAACUUUUUUUUUCUCUCUCACUCCCCAAAAAGAAAAGCUCUACUUUAUAAUCUGUCCCGUCUGUGUGCAGCCCUGUGUGGCUAAUAAAGAAACAUAUAUGCAUGUGUGUCAGUGGGUAUAUAUAUAUAUAUAUAUAUAUAUAUAUAUAUGAAUAAAUUAAAGAUAUGGAGUCGAAAGAAGAUGUUAACAAAAUUCCUUUACUCUCGACAUAAAAUUUCGAUGAUUGCCUUCAUGGUAAUUUCCUAAGCCUUCGAACAUUCUUUCAAUCAACGUACCCUUCCCUCUCCACUUGUUCCCUACCUAUUAUUCCUUUAUCCCUUCUCUUCCUACUAUCUAACUUUGACGUCAAUUCUUCUAACGGUUUUUUUUUUAAAAAAGGACUCAUUAUCGCUUUUUUUACCAUGUAGGCAACCAUCGAAAUUUUUGUUUGUCUUGUUGUCGAGAGAUGCUCCCUUUCUUUCCUGAUGAGAAGAUUGCAUAAUGCACCCUUUAUUCCUUUGGAAUGAAAACAUGCUGUCUUCGAAACAUAUGUCGAGAGUAAAGGAAUUUUGUUAACAUCUUCUUUCGACUGCAUUCUUUCAUUUAUUCAUAUACAACACACAAAUUUCUGCACAUGAACCCGGAGUUUCUACCCUUGACAGGUCGCUUCAACCGUGUUUCUGACGCGAAUUUGCUACCCAAGUUUCGAUUAAACGAAUUUUCCAUGCUGACGUUAUCGUCAGCAUAGGAUAGUUCAUUCACCUACUUAAAUAUAUAUAUAUAUUAUAUAUAUAUAUAUAUAUAUAUAUAUAUAUAUAUAUAUAUAUAUAUAUAUAUAUAUAUAUAUAUAUAUACAUACAUAUAUGUGUGUGUGUGUGUCUUGGUAUAUACGAGGAGGUGCUGAAAAGUUACUGGCUUUAAGGAUGUCGCAAAAGGCCUCACUGGAAGCCAAAUCUUCCAAGUUCAUUUACACGUUUGUGAAAAGCUGAAGGAUAGUUGCAGUAACUGUGUGAAUCUGAGAGCGUUGUAUGUUCAAUAAAAUCAUAAUUAAAUUAUCCUCCUCUACUUUCUUUUACCUAAAGCCAGGAACUUCUCAGCAACCCCACGUAUUGGUCUCAAAUGUUGGCACAUGGCCAGUCGAUUAAGUCUAUCCUAAUGCUCAAAUGAUACAUAUUUAUUCAACAUAGAAAGGAGAAGCUCAAAGUCGACUUCGGUGGAAUUUGAAGCCAGAACUUUAAGACGGACGAAAUGUCGCUCAGCAUUUUUGCGCGGCGUGCAAACAACUCUGCCCGGCACCGCCUUAAGCUGUAUAUAUAACUGUGGCUUUUGAUAUCAGGUUAAAUAUUCAUAGAACUUACCGUUGAAUCGAAGAAUUUGCUCAACACAAUUCAGUAGAAGAUAUAUUCACUAGGCAUUUACAAGGAGAAGUUUGACUGCAUCUUUGAAGUUUAGGUUCCUUGCCUAUGUCAGACAUGUAUGCAUAAAGCUCCGAUGAGGAGUACUCACCUAGGAGUGCAUGACAACUUAUAGCAGAAACAGCUGUAAGCUAAUGGGGUUCAUGAUAUAAUUUCUUAUUCCCUUGUCAGUUAUUUAUGUCAUAUGUUUGUGUAUGUAUAUAUAUAUAUAUAUAUAUAUACAUGUGUGUGCAUGUGUGUGUGUAUGUGUGUGUGUGUUUAUACCAACUUGUAUGACAUAUACAUACAUACAUGCAUACAUGCAUACAUACAUACAUAUAUACAUACAUACAUACAUACAUACAUACAUACGUACAUACAAAUGGCUGUUUGAUCUCUAGCACGUGGGCGUUCAUGAAGGUUCUUUCAUACAAGACUAUCCUGUUAAAGAUUCUACACAUAUUUCUGUUUAUUGGUGUGUGUAUCUGGAUAUAUAUAUAUAUAUAUAUAUAUAUAUAUAUAUACGGAUUAUGGAUAUGUAACUGCGUAUGAGUGCGCAUGAGUACGUGAGCGCCAGUGUUUCUGUUUGGAUGUCUGUGUGUACGUGUGACGAUAUCUACGAUCGUCUGUGUUUGUAAAUCUAGUAGUGUCAAAGCAACCAGGAUUGACUCACCGUUUCUGUGUAACCUACACAACAGUUAUAUAAACACACACAUACACAGAGACACAGACACACACACACACACACACACACAUAUUUAUUUUUAUUCUUUUAUUUGUUUUCAGUCAUUCGAAUUCGGCCAUGCUGGAGCUUCGGCUGGAAUGAUUUUAUUCAAUUAAAUCGAUAUUAGGACUUACUAUUUUUUGUAAGCAUUGUACUUAUUCUAUCGUCCUCUUUAGCCGAACAGCUAAGUUACGGGGACGUAAACACACCAACACCGGUGGUCAAGUGGUGAUGGGGGGGGGAGAUACAAAGAUAUACACAUAGAUUCACAAAU